CAAGGCCAACCUCGAAGUCAUUAACAGAUGGAGCUUUGUGAUUCCCAAGCACCGUAGACACAGGACCUGGAAGCACUUUUUAAAAAGACUCCAGGCUCCAGAUUUGGAAGGAUUUGUGACUGUGACCGUUGUCCUUCCUGCAGCACCAGUGUGUGCUUGUGGAGACAGAUGGAGAGUCACAUGGACUGCUCAACUACUGAACCAACAACCCCCCUUCUGCACUCUCCCAGAUGCCUGAGGACAAGGCCUGAGAAACAAAAGCGGAUGGAAAGGCUUAUCAUAUGGCUGUAGGCAGUAAUCCUUCUUAUUUUCCACAGAACAUUGCAAAACCAACCUGGCUGCAGAGCAUAAACUCAAGGACCUUUUUCAGCGUGGUACAUGUUGCUGGAGCUUUGCUGUUGGACAUGAUGUAAGAGGCAGGAUGAGCAGGUAUUUUCAGAUGCCAGCUUGAGCUGGCAGUGCUGACAGGUUGAAAAAUGAGUCCGGGGGUUGUAAGCUAAGCACAUUUUGAGCUGGGAGCAUCACAGAGAACAUCUGCCUGGUCAUUUUAACCAUGAUCCUGUUUUGUACUCCAAGCACGCUUUGUGUUUCAAGUGCAGCAAAGGCUGAUGAUUUACAUGUUAAAUCAAACCAUUUCAUUCAGGAUUUCUCCCAGGAGUAUAAAGCACUGACGAUGGCCACCAACAACAAAGAGCGUGGUGACACUGCUAAAAUACCAUGGAUUGGCCCCAGGACAUGCUGAGUUCUGGAGUAUCAAAUUCAGACCUUUCUUUUAACAAUAAAGCCAAGAAAAUGAUCAAAGAGAGCGAGUGCUGUACCCACAUCAGUGUAAGUGACAGCAGCCGCACACCUCCCCACCUGAUAACUCAUCAAACCUUUGCUAUUUCAUACAGAUCGCGGGUCAAUUAAAUACAUGCACUGUCUGCAUCGAGUCCUGCACGGGGCCAGCACCUUCCCAGCGGGAACAACCCUUCCCAUCGGGUACCAACAGCCCACCACCAA